AACGGCCAUACCAUGCUGAAUAUACCGGUUCUCGUUAGAUAACCGGGCUCGUUAGAUAACUCGUUCGAUAAUAGAUAAUCAUUGGGCGCGAUCAGUACUUGGGUGGGUGACCACCUGGGAAUCACCGCGUGCCGU